UGCCCAAUGAGCAGCGUGGAACCCUAAGCUUGCGGCGGAGGGGCGCGGGGCGUGGCGCGGGGGAAGGCAGGGCGGAUGGGGAGCUGGUUUCCUGGGGGUCUUAGUACGGUUCGGUACCGGGUCCCGCCACGGACCCAGCUUCCUGGGGCCGAAUUCUUUUUGGGGGCGGUUGCACGGAAUAAAGAACGGCUGGGACCGGCUCCCGUCUUCCCUUCCCCGUGGGGUUGGGCAUAGGGCGGCUCCAGGGCGGGAACUGCGAGGUCGGGCAGAGGCGAGUUUUUCCUCGCGCCUCGGUGGGUGCGCGGCGGGAAGGCUGCGCGGUGCUUACCCGGGAGGCGCGAGUUCACGGCCCGCGGGCCUCCUUACUCGUUCCCGCUGUCCCCCACCCACACCCUCCGCUUGCCCCGUUUUCUCUUUCAAGUUUUCAUAUCGGCGAUUUUGGCUCCUUGUCGGUACCCUGAAAUACGCCCAUGUCACCCUCUGACUACCGUCCGUGCACAUGAGAUCCGGUUUAGGAACUAGUCGUUUUGUGGCUGUGCCCGGUUGAAGAACUUAGGUUGGCAGCACAGAACUUGUGAGAGAAGGUAGAUGAAAAAGAGUCCCCAUCUUUCGCUCCCUGUGUGGACGGGAUCUGAGAAUAAUUCUGGAAAGCGCUCUAUGGCGCGAGAGGGUGGUAAAAGGACUCCUGGUAGAAAACGGAGAGCUGUAACGUAGAGCCACCGCUUCGCCUUACGGAUGGGAAGCUGAGCACAGUCAACCCCGAAAACUUUGACAGGUGCCUAGUAUGAGAUGAGAAAAAAGGGGAAAUAGUUCGUUCUCAGGCCGUUGUGUGAUGAAGGGGUAAACAUAAUUCAAGAGACGUGCUAUGAGAGCACAGGGCAGGGGCGCACAGAGACCAAGGGAAAAUGCCGAGGAGUGCGACCCGGAAGAGGCAGCAUGCCUAAAGUCCUGCCGGGGACAGUAAGAAAGGCGUUCUUCAUCCAGGUUGAGGUGUUGGAGUUUGGGCAGCGACGAGGGCAGAUGAGUUCGGGGUCAGGAUGCAUUCAGCAGGCUUUUGUGCAGUUGGGAUUGGGGUUUUUUGUUUGUUUUGUUUUUUGUUUUUGAAGCUUCAGGAGAGUACCGCCCUUUAUAACCGGCUAGUGCGUUGUGUGAGACAGUAAUGGAGAAGACAUUUCGUGUGAGAAGCACGGAAGUUUUCUGUGUCCAAAAGUUCUAAAGGAUCCAGCGCUCUCUCCUGGCCUCCAAGGGCACCACACAUGAUUUGGUGUCUUCUCCAAACAGUUUGAGCAAAGCAAGACCAGAGAGCCAGCAGGCACAAACCUUGGCCAUGCAGAGACCCUGAGAGCUUCAAAGGGAGCGGCCCUUCUGUGAAGCAGCUAUGUCCUAUCCAUGCACUCAUUGCAGACAAAUCUUGCAGUCUUCUACCACAGUCGCCUUUAACGGCCUUUGGAAAUGACAACAGCAGUCACACCUGCGUUCUCCUACACAUUUCUGUAUGGAAGGACAUUGCAGAGACUAAGAAUUGAAACAGAUUGACACUGGAAAAUCUCUCCACCAGAGAACUGCGCGAACGUGAGGCACAAGAAGAUGUAGUAGUAGAGCACAGGCUAAAGCUUGAGAAUGGAGUUCAACUAAUGAUUGUAUUUAAUAAACGGUGCCAUUUUA